rfam:Pan troglodytes isolate Yerkes chimp pedigree #C0471 (Clint) chromosome 6, whole genome shotgun sequence.
GGAGAUGUAGUUCAGUGAUAGAACGUGUGCCUUACAUAUAGGAGGCCUCAGGUUCAGCUCCCGAGCACCUCCA